rnacentral:rRNA from 1 species
GUCAAGUCAUCAUGCCCCUUAUGUCCAGGGCUUCACACAUGCUACAAUGGCCGGUACAAAGGGCUGCGAAGCCGUGAGGUGGAGCGAAUCCCUGCAAAGCCGGUCUCAGUUCGGAUUGCAGGCUGCAACUCGCCUGCAUGAAGCCGGAAUCGCUAGUAGUCGCGGAUCAGCAUGCCGCGGUGAAUACGUUCCCGGGCCUU